GUGCAAUGAUGAGCUUCUACUUCUGGUCCGUGUUUAUGAAUGCCAUGAUUUUUUUUCUGAAGUUCUGAGUCU